rnacentral:rRNA from 1 species
UCUUGGUCAUUUAGAGGAGUAAAGUCGUAACAAGGUUUCCGUAGGUGAACCUGCGGAAGGAUCAUUAUCGAAUCGUAGGCGAGGGUUGUCGCUGGCCUCUCGGGGCAUGUGCACGCCCGAGCCCUUGAAUCCCAAACACCACAUGUGAACCCACCGUAGGCCUUCGGGCCUAUGUCUUAUCAUAUAAUCUGAAUGUCUAAUAGAAUGUAAACCCAUUUCGUUGCCUUGAAAACGUAACGAAAGAAAACUAUACAACUUUCAACAACGGAUCUCUUGGCUCUCGCAUCGAUGAAGAACGCAGCGAAAUGCGAUAAGUAAUGUGAAUUGCAGAUUUUCAGUGAAUCAUCGAAUCUUUGAACGCACCUUGCGCCCCUUGGUAUUCCGAGGGGCAUGCCUGUUUGAGUGUCAUUAAAUCCUCAACCCCUCCGAUUCGUUUCGGUGGGGAUUGGACUUGGAGCGUGCUGGCGAAGGUCGGCUCCUCUUUAAAUGCAUCAGCGGAGAAAAUGCCUUUUGCGCCUCUGGCCGUUCAGCGUGAUAAUGAUGUUGCGCUGCGGUCGAGCUUAAGGUCCGCUUCCAAAGGUCCUCGGACAAAUAUACAUAUGACUUUUGACCUCAAAUCAGGUAGGACUACCCGCUGAACUUAAGCAUAUCAAUAAGCGGAGGAAAG